rnacentral:rRNA from 1 species
GGGUGAGUAAUGCCUAGGAAAUUGCCCUGAUGUGGGGGAUAACCAUUGGAAACGAUGGCUAAUACCGCAUAAUACCUUCGGGUCAAAGAGGGGGACCUUCGGGCCUCUCGCGUCAGGAUAUGCCUAGGUGGGAUUAGCUAGUUGGUGAGGUAAUGGCUCACCAAGGCGACGAUCCCUAGCUGGUCUGAGAGGAUGAUCAGCCACACUGGAACUGAGACACGGUCCAGACUCCUACGGGAGGCAGCAGUGGGGAAUAUUGCACAAUGGGCGCAAGCCUGAUGCAGCCAUGCCGCGUGUGUGAAGAAGGCCUUCGGGUUGUAAAGCACUUUCAGUCGUGAGGAAGGUAGUGUAGUUAAUAGCUGCAUUAUUUGACGUUAGCGACAGAAGAAGCACCGGCUAACUCCGUGCCAGCAGCCGCGGUAAUACGGAGGGUGCGAGCGUUAAUCGGAAUUACUGGGCGUAAAGCGCAUGCAGGUGGUUUGUUAAGUCAGAUGUGAAAG